rnacentral:lncRNA from 1 species
UUUCAUUCAAAGUGCUGUUAGUUAACUCAAUAAAUUGAUUUUGACGAUAUUUUUACUUUUUCUACAAGGGCAAAAUGAUAAACUUAAUAUAUUCUCGAAUAAAUAUAAUAAAAAUAAUUGAAAAACAAAAACAAAGUUGAGUCCCGCCCAUUGCCAACUACUGUCACCCGAUGACCAAACGAUGCCCUAUCGAAAUAAUCGUUGCCAUUGCCAGCACCAUCAUCACCAUCUUACACUGCCAAUUGUCGGUGCAAUUAUUUCAAAAGAAAACGCAGCUUCUUCCCACUCUAGUGCCAACCCCAAAACCAAACAAGGAAAGCCAGCCACUGUCGCCAACCUCCAACGGUCGUUGAAGCAAAAACCAAAAAUCAACAGUUGCCACAGUUUCUGCAUGACGAUUUCCUUUUUGGUUUAAAAUUCUUGAAUUGGUUCAGUACCAAAUCUUUCGUUUCCUCCAACACGGUAUUUUAACUACGCUGUAAGUCUGGCAGGCCGUGAAGAAAGCGAUUGUCAGCAAUGGUUCUGGCCAUGGAGGGACCAAAUUUUUGUCCUGCACAAUGACUCAGUAAAAAUUCUAAAGAGAAAAUUUACUUGUAGUGGAAAUAUCUCGAUUUUUGGAUUCUUA